ACCUUUCAAAUCAGGGUGCGGCGCGGCCCCCGAGGAGCGGAAACAAUCCUUGGGAGGUAUGCGGGGGCUUCGAGCCCCCCAUUUACGCACGCACGACUUGCCAUCCUUACUUUACGAGCACCUUCUGUUCUCCCUCGGCGGGGCAACCUGCCGUUGGAACCGAAUAAACUCUUUUUUUGCAUCUAGCAUUACCUGUUCCGAAACAAACAAUCGUUA
rnacentral:misc_RNA from 1 species